AAAUUGAAGAGUUUGAUCAUGGCUCAGAUUGAACGCUGGCGGCAGGCCUAACACAUGCAAGUCGAACGGUAACAGGAAGCAGCUUGCUGCUUUGCUGACGAGUGGCGGACGGGUGAGUAAUGUCUGGGAAACUGCCUGAUGGAGGGGGAUAACUACUGGAAACGGUGGCUAAUACCGCAUAACGUCGCAAGACCAAAGAGGGGGACCUUCGGGCCUCUUGCCAUCAGAUGUGCCCAGAUGGGAUUAGCUAGUUGGUGAGGUAACGGCUCACCAAGGCGACGAUCCCUAGCUGGUCUGAGAGGAUGACCAGCCACACUGGAACUGAGACACGGUCCAGACUCCUACGGGAGGCAGCAGUGGGGAAUAUUGCACAAUGGGCGCAAGCCUGAUGCAGCCAUGCCGCGUGUAUGAAGAAGGCCUUAGGGUUGUAAAGUACUUUCAGCGGGGAGGAAGGUGUUGCGGUUAAUAACCGCAGCAAUUGACGUUACCCGCAGAAGAAGCACCGGCUAACUC
rnacentral:rRNA from 1 species